rnacentral:rRNA from 1 species
UAAGUAGGCGGCCUAUUAAGUGAGAGGUGAAAUCUUCCGGCUCAAUCGGAAAACUGCUUUUCAAACUGAUAGACUUGAGAUUGGAAGAGGGAAACGGAAUUAGCAGUGUAAGGGUGAAAUCUGUAGAUAUUGCUAAGAACACCAGCGGCGAAGGCGGUUUCCUGGUCCAAAUCUGACGCUAAAUUACGAAAGCUAGGGGAGCAAACAGGAUUAGAUACCCUGGUAGUCC